UACGUAGGGUGGCAAGCGUUAAUCGGAAUUACUGGGCGUAAAGCGUGCGCAGGCGGUUAUGUAAGACAGAUGUGAAAUGCCCGGGCUUAACCUGGGAACUGCAUUUGUGACUGCAUGGCUAGAGUUUGGCAGAGGGGGGUAGAAUUCCACGUGUAGCAGUGAAAUGCGUAGAUAUGUGGAGGAACACCGAUGGCGAAGGCAGCCCCCUGGGUCAAGACUGACGCUCAUGCGACGAAAGCGUGGGGAGC
rnacentral:rRNA from 1 species